AGUUAAUGAGCUUGAAAAUAAGCAUAUGUUUUGAAAACAUAAGAUAGAAACAUAAACUUCUAUUAACUU
rnacentral:tRNA from 1 species